rnacentral:rRNA from 1 species
AUUGAACGCUGGCGGCAUGCCUUACACAUGCAAGUCGAACGGUAACGGGCCUUCGGGUGCCGACGAGUGGCGAACGGGUGAGUAAUGUAUCGGAACGUACCUUUCAGUGGGGGAUAACGUAGCGAAAGUUACGCUAAUACCGCAUAUUCUGUGCGCAGGAAAGCAGGGGAUCGCAAGACCUUGCGCUGAUUGAGCGGCCGAUAUCAGAUUAGCUAGUUGGUGAGGUAAAGGCUCACCAGGGCGACGAUCUGUAGCGGGUCUGAGAGGAUGAUCCGCCACACUGGAACUGAGACACGGUCCAGACUCCUACGGGAGGCAGCAGUGAGGAAUUUUGGACAAUGGGGGCAACCCUGAUCCAGCCAUGCCGCGUGAGUGAAGAAGGCCUUCGGGUUGUAAAGCUCUUUCGGCCGGGAAGAAAUCGCACGGGCUAAUACCCUGUGUGGAUGACGGUACCGGAAUAAGAAGCACCGGCUAACUACGUGCCAGCAGCCGCCGCAGUAA